ACUUGUCGCGGUUCUCUACUAAACUAAAUGUCAGGAAUCAAUGGCUGAGGUGGGUCAGAGAAGCAGCUCUUUAUGAUACAGAAAGAUAAUGAUAUGUACACGUGACUGAACCUUAGGGCCAUCACUGAGCACUGAAACAGACAAAAACCCGGUGGAACAGCUGCCAGGAUCAAUUCAGCCGUGAUCUAACUGCCAAAGGCCGGAGUGGGAAAGGCAGCUCCAAAAAAGGCCAUACUUGUACAUGGCCCAGUUGCAAUUUUUGAGGGCGGUGAUGGAUUUGAGGCCUACUGUGGACAGUCUGGAUGACCCAGAGGACUCUGAGACGGGCGAAAGUGACACUCCGGCAGUAUUUUCCCCUGAAAGUAGUCCUGCCCCAACAUCGGCUGAGGAGCCUGACCAGCCAUCACUGGCCCAGCCCACCCUUUCA